rnacentral:tRNA from 1 species
GGGCCCGUAGCCCAGCUAGGAUAGGGCGCCGGCCUCCGGAGCCGGAGGUCCCGGGUUCAAAUCCCGGCGGGCCCG